rnacentral:rRNA from 1 species
UACGUAGGGUCCGAGCGUUGUCCGGAAUUACUGGGCGUAAAGAGCUCGUAGGUGGUUUGUCGCGUUGUUCGUGAAAACUCACAGCUCAACUGUGGGCGUGCGGGCGAUACCGGGGCAGACUAGAGUACUGCAGGGGAGACUGGAAUACUUGGUGUAGCAGUGAAAUGCGUAGAUAUCAAAGUGGAACACCAGUGGCGAAGGCGAGUCUCUGGACAUUUCCUGACGGCUGAGGCACGAAAGCCCAGGGGAGCAAACGGG